GACGAACGCUGGCGGCGUGCUUAACACAUGCAAGUCGAACGCAGUGGCGAACGGGUGCGUAACACGUGGGUGACCUGCCCUGCACUUCGGGAUAAGCCUGGGAAACUGGGUCUAAUACCGGGUAGUGUGGGAUGGGCCCGCGGCCGAUCAGCUUGUUGGUGGGGUAAUGGCCUACCACGGCGGCGACCGGUAGCCGGCCUGAGAGGGUGGACGGCCACAUUGUGACUGAGACACAGCCCAGACUGCUACGGGAGACAGCAGUGGGGAAUGUUGCACGAUGGGCGGAAGCCUGAUGCAGCGACGCAGCAUGGAGGGUGACGGCCUUCGGGUUGUAAACUCCUUUCACCAGCGGCGCGGUAGAUGGAGGAGAAGCACCGGCUAACUACGUGCCAGCCGCCGCGGUAAUAC
rnacentral:rRNA from 1 species